UUUGCCGCCAAGCACUAGCACCACCGGACUUGCGUAUCCAUCUUUGGUGACUGGAGGAGGCAAAACUGAAGCUGCUUUGGUCAUGGAUUGGUCUGUUGAAGAGCAGUAUGUAUUAGAGAACGGCCUUGCAAAGUAGGUUGAAAGAUGAACCAAAAUUUUCCAAGUAUGUAAAGAUCGCUGCUGCUCUACCAGAUAAAACUGUAAGGGAUGUAGCACUGAGGUGCAGAUGGAUGACG